GACAUAGGUGGCGAUCGUUAUCCGGAUUUAUUGGGCGUAAAGGAUGCGUAGAUGGUGGAAUAAGUUAUUGGUCAAAGUCAAGCUCAACUUGGCGGAAGCUGGUAAUACUAUUCUACUUGAGGACAGGAGAGGUUGGCGGAAUUCUGUGUGGAGCGGUGAAAUGCGUUGAUCUACAGAGGAACACCAAAAAAGGCGAAGGCAGCCAACUAUUCUGCUCCUGACAUUGAGGCAUGAAAGCGUGGGGAGCAAACCGG
rnacentral:rRNA from 1 species